AAGUCGUAACAAGGUUUCCGUAGGUGAACCUGCGGAAGGAUCAUUAACACGUAUCCAACGUUAAACAACCCUGUGAACCUUGAACGUGCUCCUGCAGCCCCAUGAAAUCAGCAAUCCCUGGUAAAUCAUUGUUGACCAGCUUUUGAGUCAGGGACCUCUGCCGAAACGGCUGUUCAGUACCGAGCGCGGUGUAAGCGACCUGGCAUCCCCAAGCGAUCAGUGUCUGAAAGUGUCAUUGAUUGUGUAAGGAUGGCGCAGUAACGAUCGCUAGAGGCCGACACGGCCGGCGACCGGACCGCCGGGCUAUACGCUCCUUUAUCACCUUUGCAUGAAAACGGGCCUGCGCUUAAUUGUGCGGCCACAAAAACCGAACAACUGUUAACAAUGGAUAUCUUGGUUCUC
rnacentral:misc_RNA from 1 species